AUUGAACGCUGGCGGCAGGCCUAACACAUGCAAGUCGAGCGGAUGAAGGGAGCUUGCUCCUGGAUUCAGCGGCGGACGGGUGAGUAAUGCCUAGGAAUCUGCCUGGUAGUGGGGGAUAACGUCCGGAAACGGGCGCUAAUACCGCAUACGUCCUGAGGGAGAAAGUGGGGGAUCUUCGGACCUCACGCUAUCAGAUGAGCCUAGGUCGGAUUAGCUAGUUGGUGGGGUAAAGGCCUACCAAGGCGACGAUCCGUAACUGGUCUGAGAGGAUGAUCAGUCACACUGGAACUGAGACACGGUCCAGACUCCUACGGGAGGCAGCAGUGGGGAAUAUUGGACAAAGGGCGAAAGCCUGAUCCAGCCAUGCCGCGUGUGUGAAGAAGGUCUUCGGAUUGUAAAGCACUUUAAAUUGGGAGGAAGGGCAGUAAGUUAAUACCUUGCUGUUUUGACGUUACCAACAGAAUAAGCACCGGCUAACUUCGUG
rnacentral:rRNA from 1 species